ACGCUGAACUCGAAGAAGAGCAAAGACAAUUCCCGGGAAUGGCACGGUGCCCUGAACUCACUUGUGCUUGCGGAGAGAGAGUAACAUGUUUAAAGAAACAAACGUCUUGUGCAUGUGCUUGUGUGAAACGUCAUCAAGGUUGCAAAUAUCCUUGGCGAAUCAGCUGCAUAUCGACUUGCAUAAAAAGUGGUCCUAGGUG